rnacentral:tRNA from 1 species
AGGAUAGGCCGGGAAUCGAACCCUGCCCGCGUGGCAGGCGAGCAUUCUACCACUGAACCACC